rnacentral:rRNA from 1 species
UACGAAGGGGGCGAGCGUUGUUCGGAGUUACUGGGCGUAAAGGGCGCGUAGGCGGCGAUCCAAGUUAGGCGUGAAAGCCCCGGGCUUAACCUGGGAAUUGCGCUUAAGACUGGACUGCUUGAGUGCGGGAGAGGUGAGUGGAAUUCCCAGUGUAGAGGUGAAAUUCGUAGAUAUUGGGAAGAACACCAGUGGCGAAAGCGGCUCACUGGCCCGCAACUGACGCUGAGGCGCGAAAGCGUGGGGAGCAAACAGG